UAAGAACUCACACUAGACGCAUUAACUUUACAAGCACUGACAACCCUGGAUGUACUUCCGAGCUUACUUGAAAAUGCACGCAACUCUGAGGAUGUGUUUAAUGCUCCAGUAGGGGCGAGGGGGGGCGUCCACCUGUGGCCUGCGAGGCACUCCUGUGUGCAGACAGCUCGAUGGACUGGAACGCGCCCGGACAUCCCCGGAAUCCUCCCUGGGUUCCUGGCAGCUGCUCCUUCUUCACAUGCAGAACUAGGGAUCGAACUCAGGACCUUGCACUUGACAGGGAGCCAUGGCGCCACUGAGCUGCAUCCCCUGCCCUAUGCUUAAUAUUUUUAAAGCUUCUCAUGCAGUCUUGAUCUUCUACUUUUCAAAAGUAGACAAUUACCAAGGCACACUGGGGAAAUAUGACCGGGACUGGGCAGAACUUGCAAAAAUAACUACAAAGCCAGCCCCGAGCAGUCGCUAUUGGUGGGAACAGCGCUGCCACCCCACAAGCAAAGACAUCCAGGCACUUUGUCCCUUGUCACCGCCCCCUCCGCCUGCCAACUUUGAGAGGAUUCAACUACUUGGCUUUGGAAUUAAAAUGCUCAGCCCCAGCCACCCCGAGAAUGCGCCUCGAGCCACCCGGCGCACUAAUGUUGAGCCACGAGAGACGGGCAGGUGCGCCUUGUAGGCCUUUCUGCCUUCACAACCGGCGCCAAGUCGGCGGCCCUGGCAGGGUCUCGCAGGCAGGCAGGCAGGAGGAGAGGGCAAGCGGCCGGCGGCGGAAGACGUUUCAGAAAGAUUUAAGCCUUUUGAAGUCGACCACUUACUGUGUUUUGACACUGUUGGAUUGACAAUUGUCCAGCUGGAUGGGGGCGACCUACCCCCUACACUUUAAAAAUACAUAAGAGUUGACUCCUUGGUCCUUGUUCUUUUGUGCUACGACAAAACUACGUAACUACGACAGCGCGGGUUUGGGGAACCUGUCGGUGGAGGUCUUUAUGACAUUGGUGUUCAUGUA
rnacentral:lncRNA from 1 species